AGGAAUUACCCGAUUCGAUCAUGACAAGUUGUAAUAUGAUUACAACUUGCUCAAGGGCCCUAUUCGGGUCCAUUAGUCUAAAAAGUUUUAUCUUGUGCGAGCACCUUCCUUUGGGUAUAGGCCGCUAGCACCGCCAGUUCCGGAGUUCUGUCGAUGCAGUUGGCGUGGAUACCGGUAGAGACGUGACACAUGGAGCGCUUGGUUUGGCGAGCCAGCAUCAGUUUUGCGCUAUAAGAUCGCGCCCAGGCGCGCGAUUCCUACAAUGUGUGUAUGGUAAAAUCAAAUAAGGAAGAUGACUUGGAGGGGGAGAGUAUUGCACAAAAGGAGGAAUGAGGAGUAAGAUCGACAUGAGGAGAUUCAUGAGCACAACAGAAGAAAUGCACAAAUGUUGUCAAAUGUUGAUAGAUUCCGGUGAGAGCUCACAGUGCUCUAGCGAGACAAGGCCAAUUUGAUUUGCAUGAGUUCGAGCCAAGUAGGUUAUGAGGCUUCACCAAUUCAACAACCUAUUGUUGCCACGAGAAUCCAAUCCUUUGAAGACUCGAUUCAUAUGUACCAAUCGCCCGGAAACAAUCCAGCUUCUUAGCCAGGCAUUUUACCAGCAAGAACUGGGUCACAUUAGUCACACGCGCUCACAUCCCCUCAGAUCUAUUGCCAAGCAAGUCAAGCAACAGGUUAUUAAACCGUUGGAAGGAGUAGGGAAAGGAUAGGAUAUCUUGCUCAGUGGACAUGAGGACGUGGAUACUCCUUCCACCCCAAAAGUUUUAGCUUCCUCAGUGCCUCUAUUAUUUCACCCGUCCAAUAUUCCCGUGUACAAUGGCAAAAUUGAACCAAAGUUUCAUUCAACAUGACUACUUAAAAUA